CGAAUUACUGAAGCUUUAUUGUAAACACUAGAGCAAUAAUCAGCUCCGAAUGAUCGAAUUCGAAGCGGCCUCGUGCAACGCGGUGACGUAACGCGCAACGCAAGGCCAAUUCCAAACGGCUCCCCGUUGGACAAGAGGCGCCCUAGGUAGUGCACAUGAGCCUAUUGUUUUGUAGCCUGUUUAGUUGCAGCCUACCUAGGGUUCAGUAGGCGUUUGUGACUCUGUCACGCAGUGCUGUGUUGGAAUGCGUCGAGACUCGCACUUCCCUGAACAAGUUUAACUGAAAAGUUAAGUUUUGAGAGCGAAUAAAACUUUACAAAAGCUUCAGGAAAACAUCGACAGACGUCGAACAAACACAAAGGCUGACCGAGCAUGGCUUCUCAGACAGCCUUUAGUCUCUGUAUGGAUGUCAUUGUGACCUCUGGAGAUGCUUCGCUGCCCAAAGAAUCUGAAGUAAACGCAAUUCCCUGUUCAGAGCUUCCUGCGCCUCAGAUUGUCAUGCUGGCUAACGUGGCGCUGCACACAGAUUCCCCUCCAGAGGAGGAGAAGCAGAUGGCAGAACUGAAAAACGUUGGAUGCUGUGGCUACUCUGAUUGCGAGGACAAACGGGCUCCUUUACAGCUUCGAUGAGACGACCGAAAUUGUGGAUGAAGAGAGCAGUUUGGGAGAAAACAGCAUAGAAGAUGGUGUCGGAAAUGUUGAGACAGUACCAACUGACCUUUCAAAGAAACCUUCAUCGGCAAAAUCUCCUUUUGCCGCGACAAAUUCUCUAAUCAAACCUACCAGGAAAAAGAGGAAGCUGUUCUUCUGCAAGCCGUGCCACUUUCAAGCUGAGUGCGAAGAGGAAUUCGUCCAGCACAUCCGCGUCCACAGCGCAAAGAAACUGAUUGCAGAAAAGGCAGGUGGUGGAAAUUCAGAUGACGAAUCAAAUCAGACACAGCAAAAAUCAGCAAGGGUGUGAUCUGCUGUGAUCGCUGUGGCUACAACACCAACCGCUACGAUCAUUAUGUAGCACACCAGAGGCACCACAAGAAUGAAGGGGAUGAGCAGCAAGUGUUCAGGUGCACCAUCUCCCCUACUCCACUGUCAGCCAAUAUCACUGGAAGAAGUACCUGAGGAACCAUUUUCCCAGCAAGCUAUUCACAUGUGACCAGUGCAGCUACUUCUCUGACAGAAAGAACAACCGCAUCCAGCACAUUUGCACACACACCGGCAUGCAACCUUGGUCAGGGUUUAUGGAAGAAUCAGGAUUACUCUCACACAAUAUGAUGGCAUCACAUUCCAAGACAAUCAUCAUGAUCAUAUUUUAAGUGGCAUUGAUUUUGAAUCAUUUAAUUUCUACCUAUGUUUAUAGAGCGUGAUAAAGCAGGUUACACAAUUGAAAUCAGAUUUUAGAUAUAACGUAAAACCUUUGCUUUUGUGUAAUGUUAUGUUACAUUUUUUUCUAUGUUCAGUCUGUAUUUUCUUUUCUCGAAUUUUUUUUAAUUUCUACUUGAAAAAACAAACUGACAGGUGUGAACUACUAAAGGCCGCCAUCGGAAAAGCGAUUGAAGCACGUGAAUUAGCUUAAUGUUCUAGAAGUAAAUAUGAACAAAAGUCUUGUAGAGUACGUAAUGUCUCAUUAUUGUAGAGACACCCAGGUUUAACAGCAAAAUCAACAGAACUAACAGGUAAACUGGUCCUGUUUACUUAUUCCAUGUUCUAUGCACCUCAAGGGCAAAAGAAAGAACUGAACUUCAUUCUUCUGCUUGUUGCCAAAAUAAACAAGUCAAGAAGC